GCAGACCAGCCUGACCAAUUAUUUGGUCAGUUUGGCUCUUGGCGUACCUAGUAAAAUCUGGUAUAUUUAGUGCAAGAGUAGCCCAGAAACUAAUAUUUGCAGUUAGGGAAGGGAAGAACAGAGCCCAAAAUUCAGAAGAAGAUAGCCUAGAGGACAAAGCCAGCAUAUGACCAAAACCACCAGCAUUAACAUAAGCCCAGGCAAGUAAACAAGCAGUGAGUGUGAUUAAUAUAGGAGCUGAGUAUUUCUCUAGCUGUCUAAUCCCUUCCAUUCCCUUCCAAACUACAGUCAAUUGAGCUACCCAAAAGACAAUAAAACAAGCAAAUU
rnacentral:misc_RNA from 1 species